rnacentral:sRNA from 1 species
UAUCGUUAGAAUAGCGUUAAGAUAUCUUGCUCAUACAUCAUCUAUUAGUGUCAUAAGAUUGUUCCAGAAAAUGUCACUUUCGAUGGACAGUUCUGGAUUGCUUGAUUCUUUGUCAACAUUUUUAACCCGCGAUUGACUAUGUCCACUCGCCUGACCUCUGGACGUAAUCUCUUCAGUAAACCCCGGAGUUAACUUGUUCUACAGUCUGUUUGGUGAAGAUAGGCGAGACUCAGACACAAGAGCUCAGGUCGUUUAUACGGACGAGUAGUGUUGAUAUACUAGUGUGUGGACGUAGGCUACUCGGUACUUCUAACACUAUCAAGCUCACACUGCUACACAGAUAUGGACUAUCUGAAAAUGCCCGGCCUUCUAAGGAUUAUAUUCGUUUUUUGUAACAAAAAUUGUAUCACCGUAUUAUUGUGCUGUCUUUUACUUCAACACCAAGAUGGUGUGUCUUCCCAAAGUGACGAAAACGACGUCAGCAUCAAGUAUCAGAAGGAUGGUAACAACGCAAUUCUUACCUGUACGGCCAAGAACAUUGGCUCAAGAAAGGUAACAGUUCUUAGUUUCG